AUUAAAGCUGUUCCAGAGCAUGUACUGCAGUCCACCUUUAUGCCUUAAAACUCCUUUUCAACUUUUACAGUUUACACAAGCAAUCAUAUCUAGGUUACAAUUUAGAAACUUCAUGUUCACAGAAUUCAGAAAAACCAUAGUCAAUUUUAUAUAGCAAUAAAAAGUUUGUCAAUAACACUAGCAAAUUCACUUGAGCUAGCAUUUUGCUGAAAAACCAGCUAACUAAUUGAGCUUAACAUGUUCAAACAAGAAUUAUACAGUGAACAAAGGUCAACCAACUUUAAUAUUUACUCAGAAUUAAGACAUAACCAAAGUCAAUAAAUGAAAACUACACACCGGAUAUAGAUUAAUACUGUAAUAAGAGAAGAAAACAAACCAAAAGAACCCACCUUUAUACUACUACUAUGAAGCUUUAUCUUUUACAGCAAAACCAAAGCUGCUUUUUGAGCUGCUAUCACUCAAAUCCUUCCAAAAGCCUGGCAAAAUCCUCAUAACUUUGUCAUUCAAAAAACUUUCACUUUCAAAAUCAAUACCCAAAACUCCAAAAUGGGUCGCUCUCUCACUCUCUCUCUCUCUUCUUAAUUUAGUAGAUCCCAAUUAUGAAGUGAACGAUUCAAAGAUAGGUGGAUAUAUAGCAAUGAUUGAAGUAAACCCACCAAAACCCAAGAAUUAGUAUCAUGUAGACUAUGCACAGAUCACGAGAAGAGCCAACUUUAUA
rnacentral:lncRNA from 1 species